rnacentral:rRNA from 1 species
AUUGAACGCUGGCGGCAGGCCUAACACAUGCAAGUCGAGCGGAUGAGGGGAGCUUGCUCCUGGAUUCAGCGGCGGACGAGUGAGUAAUGCCUAGGAAUCUGCCUGGUAGUGGGGGAUAACGUCCGGAAACGGGCGCUAAUACCGCAUACGUCCUGAGGGAGAAAGUGGGGGAUCUUCGGACCUCACGCUAUCAGAUGAGCCUAGGUCGGAUUAGCUAGUUGGUGGGGUAAAGGCCUACCAAGGCGACGAUCCGUAACUGGUCUGAGAGGAUGAUCAGUCACACUGGAACUGAGACACGGUCCAGACUCCUACGGGAGGCAGCAGUGGGGAAUAUUGGACAAUGGGCGAAAGCCUGAUCCAGCCAUGCCGCGUGUGUGAAGAAGGUCUUCGGAUUGUAAAGCACUUUAAGUUGGGAGGAAGGGCAGUAAGUUAAUACCUUGCUGUUUUGACGUUACCAACAGAAUAAGCACCGGCUAACUUCGUG